GUUGCUACAUGUACAGUGUGCAAGUGUAAUAUUUAUUGGCUCAAUUGUAUGUACAUGUAUGACUAUAAUAUACAUGUGGAGGUUUACCAAUUCACUGGUAUAUACUGUACAUGUAUACUCUUAACUCUUAUUGACUCACAGAUUGAUAGAGUGUACAUAUCAAGGAAGCUAUUGUUUGCUGGUAUGCUGUUGAGAGUCAGUGGAUUGUGGACUAAAGGGGAAACUGUCAAGAGUAGAGUGCAUGGUGACUGGCUCUACCAGUGUGGAUUGUGUUUAGAUCAGCCUCAUUGUAAUUCUUCCUAUUCAUGCAAGUCAGUUCAGAGAUAUAUGAGUUUGAUCCCAAUGGUGAUACUUACUUUGAUGAAGCAGUUGAUUGUUUUUGAAGGAUCUCUAUUCCGUUAAUUAACAUAAUUCACAUUCUUUCUACAAAUAAAUGUAUAAUUCUUUCUCUUUGUCUCUGUCUCUCUCUCCCUCUCGCUCUCCCCCCUCUCCCUCUUUUAGGUGUGAUUCCAUUGAUAAACUCUGUAAAAGGUGUGAGACCAUUGAUUGAGAGAUACAGGACUCACAACAGUUCAAGGACUUCUACCAGUUUACGUUUAAUGUUGCCAAAAACUCGGACAGAAAGGACUAG